GUGUAUCACCUUGUAGCAGGCCCAGUGUGCUAGUACCACCAGGUAUGUGAGUAUCACCAGGUAUGUGUGAGUAUCACCAGGUAUGUGAGUAUCACCUUGUAGCAGGCCCAG